UACAGAGGUCCCAAGCGUUGUUCGGAUUCACUGGGCGUAAAGGGUGCGUAGGCGGUCGGGAAAGUCGGAUGUGAAAUCUCACAGCUUAACUGUGAAACUGCAUUGGAUACUAUCCGGCUAGAGGAAUGGAGGGGAGACUGGAAUACUUGGUGUAGCUGUGAAAUGCGUAGAUAUCAAGUGGAACACCAGUGGCGAAGGCGAGUCUCUGGACAUUUCCUGACGCUGAGGCACGAAAGCCAGGGGAGCAAACGGG
rnacentral:rRNA from 1 species